GGUUUUUUCAAUUGAAAAUGAAGCCUCUUGAUCCCUCGAGAAAUCCCAAGACGAACACUCAGUCGAGAAUCCUGCACACAGCAAAAACUACGCUCCACUUAGUUCUUUCAAGGAUCUCUCUCGAAUAGCUAUCUCGACGGGCAGUAUCAAAUGAAUUUGUGUAACAAAUGAUGUAUUUAUGUUCUGGACAAAAAAAAAAAUAUUAUUAAACCGAACAGUUCAACUGCACUACACAACACUGCACUAGAAUGCGUGAAUUUAUCAAAAAAAUAUUAUAAUUAUCGAAGUUUCGGGCAUUCGUUUCCGUUGUUAGAGAGAACCACUAAUGUAAUAAAC